rnacentral:rRNA from 1 species
AGUGAACGCUGGCGGUAGGCCUAACACAUGCAAGUCGAACGGCAGCACAGGAGAGCUUGCUCUCUGGGUGGCGAGUGGCGGACGGGUGAGGAAUACAUCGGAAUCUACUCUGUCGUGGGGGAUAACGUAGGGAAACUUACGCUAAUACCGCAUACGACCUACGGGUGAAAGCAGGGGACCUUCGGGCCUUGCGCGAUUGAAUGAGCCGAUGUCGGAUUAGCUAGUUGGCGGGGUAAAGGCCCACCAAGGCGACGAUCCGUAGCUGGUCUGAGAGGAUGAUCGGCCACACUGGAACGGAGACACGGUCCAGACUCCUACGGGAGGCAGCAGUGGGGAAUAUUGGACAAUGGGCGCAAGCCUGAUCCAGCCAUACCGCGUGGGUGAAGAAGGCCUUCGGGUUGUAAAGCCCUUUUGUUGGGAAAGAAAUCCAGCUGGCUAAUACCCGGUUGGGAUGACGGUACCCAAAGAAUAAGCACCGGCUAACUUCGUGCCAGCCGCCGCGGUAA